rnacentral:rRNA from 1 species
UACCUACUGUUGCUUCGGCGGGAUUGCCCCGGGCGCCUCGUGUGCCCCGGAUCAGGCGCCCGCCUAGGAAACUUAAUUCUUGUUUUAUUUUGGAAUCUUCUGAGUAGUUUUUACAAAUAAAUAAAAACUUUCAACAACGGAUCUCUUGGUUCUGGCAUCGAUGAAGAACGCAGCGAAAUGCGAUAAGUAAUGUGAAUUGCAGAAUUCAGUGAAUCAUCGAAUCUUUGAACGCACAUUGCGCCCGCCAGUAUUCUGGCGGGCAUGCCUGUCUGAGCGUCAUUUCAACCCUCAUGCCCCUAGGGCGUGGUGUUGGGGAUCGGCCAAAGCCCGCGAGGGACGGCCGGCCCCUAAAUCUAGUGGCGGACCCGUCGUGGCCUCCUCUGCGAAGUAGUGAUAUUCCGCAUCGGAGAGCGACGAGCCCCUGCCGUUAAACCCCCAACUUUCCAAGGUUGACCUCAGAUCAGGUAGGAAUACCCGCUGAACUUAAGCAUAUCAAUAAGCGGAGGAA